rnacentral:rRNA from 1 species
UAUGCACGCUGGCGGCGUGCCUAAUACAUGCAAGUCGAGCGAACAGACGAGGAGCUUGCUCCUCUGACGUUAGCGGCGGACGGGUGAGUAACACGUGGAUAACCUACCUAUAAGACUGGGAUAACUUCGGGAAACCGGAGCUAAUACCGGAUAAUAUAUUGAACCGCAUGGUUCAAUAGUGAAAGACGGUUUUGCUGUCACUUAUAGAUGGAUCCGCGCCGCAUUAGCUAGUUGGUAAGGUAACGGCUUACCAAGGCGACGAUGCGUAGCCGACAUGAGAGGGUGAUCGGCCACACUGGAACUGAGACACGGUCCAGACUCCUACGGGAGGCAGCAGUAGGGAAUCUUCCGCAAUGGGCGAAAGCCUGACGGAGCAACGCCGCGUGAGUGAUGAAGGUCUUCGGAUCGUAAAACUCUGUUAUUAGGGAAGAACAAAUGUGUAAGUAACUAUGCACGUCUUGACGGUACCUAAUCAGAAAGCCACGGCUAACUACGUG